rnacentral:rRNA from 1 species
UACGUAGGGGGCUAGCGUUGUCCGGAUUUAUUGGGCGUAAAGAGCGUGUAGGCGGCCAUACAGGUCAGCUGUGAAAACUCGAGGCUCAACCUCGAGACGUCGGUUGAAACCGUAUGGCUAGAGUCCGGAAGAGGAGAGUGGAAUUCCCGGUGUAGCGGUGAAAUGCGCAGAUAUCGGGAAGAACACCCGUGGCGAAGGCGGCUCUCUGGGACGGUACUGACGCUGAGACGCGAAAGCAUGGGGAGCGAACAGG